ACAUUAUGAAGUGUGCUAUUCACCAUCGGAUCAAAUUCUAACCAAAUUUUAGGACGAAAAUAAUUUUUCCUUCCAAUAUUUUUGAUACGAGCCUUGUCCCUUACUUCAAAAUAAUUUGGAACAUAUCAAAAUCUGAAAUUUUAAAAAUGGCCACCGCUAAUAUUCAGCAAUUCCAUGCAGGCGCAAGAAUCGAAAAAUAGCGAAUGGGGGACGAGCUGCUUGAAUAGAAACAAACAGGAAAAUGAAAAUGAAGAGACUGGAGGUUGAUUUGGUAAUGCUGUUACCUCCACUCAUUUUUGUGGGGAAGAGGGAAUAUUUGUUGUUUCAAUUGUGUGAGUGGUUGCUUUGGAUGUAGGUUUAUAUAAGAUUUGAGUUUUUUUGGUUUGUUGAGGCCAUGGGUAUUGGCCUUAAAGAGCUAGUGGUUAUGAUGCAUGAGGAUAUGGGCAUUGGUGAUGCAUCUUUUGCAUGUUUUAAAUUGGGAUAACGUAUAUAAAAUUUCACGGACUCACGAUGAAAUUAUCAGUUACAUAUUUAAA